UGUUAAGAAGUGCAACUGCCUA
rnacentral:siRNA from 1 species